rnacentral:precursor_RNA from 15 species
AUCAUAUCAUCUUUUUAUGUACCUGUUAUUUUUAUAAUAUUAUCAGGUUUGCUGUUAAGGAAAAGUAAACUGGUAGUAUUAUAUUAAUAAAGGGUAUAUACAGUUCAACAUAAAUAA